rnacentral:rRNA from 1 species
AAUGAACGUUGGCGGCGUGGAUUAGGCAUGCAAGUCGAGCGGAAAGGCCCGCAAGGGCACUCGAGCGGCGUAAGGGACAGUAAUGUGUAGGUAACGUACCCCUGGGUCUAGGAUAGCUGCGGGAAACUGCAAUUAAUACUAGAUAACGUCUCCGGACCAAAGGUGUGAUCCCACCUGGGGAGCGGCCUACAUCCUAUUAGCUAGUUGGUGAGGUAAUGGCUCACCAAGGCGAAGAUGGGUAGCAGGUGUGAGAGCACGACCUGCGUCACUGGGACUGAGACACUGCCCAGACACCUACGGGUGGCUGCAGUCGAGAAUCUUCGGCAAUGGGCGAAAGCCUGACCGAGCGACGCCGCGUGUGGGAUGAAGGCCUUCGGGUUGUAAACCACUGUCGGAGGGGAUGAAGUGUUAGUGGGUUCUCCCAUUAACUUGACUGAUCCUCGGAGGAAGGGUGGGCUAAGUUCAUGCCAGCAGCCGCGGUAAGAC